rnacentral:rRNA from 1 species
CACCAGCCCCUCGAGUGGUGGGGAUGAUUAUUUGGCCUAAAGCGUCCGUAGCCGGCCGGGUAAGUUUCCCGUUAAAUCCAGCGUCUCAAGCGUUGGACUGCGGGAAAUACUGCCUGGCUAGAGAGUGGGAGAGGUCAGCGGUAUUCUGGGGGUAGGGGCGAAAUCCUUUGAUCCCCGGAGGACCACCAGUGGCGAAGGCUGCUGACUAGAACACGUCUGACGGUCAGGGACGAAAGCUGGGGUAGCGAACCGGAUUAGAUACCCGGGUAGUCCCAGCCGUAAACGAUGCAUGCUAGGUGUUUGGACGGCCACGUGCCGUUCUAGUGCCGCAGGGAAGCCAUUAAGCUCGCCGCCUGGGGAGUACGGCCGCAAGGCUGAAACUUAAAGGAAUUGGCGGGGGAGCACCACAAGGCGUGAAGCUUGCGGUUC